rnacentral:rRNA from 1 species
CCUACGGGAGGCAGCAGUGGGGGAUAUUGGUCAAUGGGCGGAACCCUGAAGCAGCGACGCCGCGUGGGUGAAGAAGCGCCUAGGCGUGUUAAGCCCUUUCUGCAGGGGAGCAAAUGACGGUACGUGUAGCAGUAGCCACGGCUAAUUACGUGCCAGCAGCCGCGGUAUCACGGCGGGGGCAAGCGUUAUCCGGAUUUACUGGGUGUAAAGGGGGAGCAGAUGGGGUUGCAAGCCAGGAGUGAAAGCCCGGGGCCCAACCCCGGGACUGCACUUGGAACUGGGUGGCUGGAGUGCAGGAGGGGCAGGCGGAAUUCGUGGUGUAGCGGUGAAAUGCUUAGAUAUCAGGAAGAACACCGAUUGCGAAGGCGGCCUGCUGGACUGCAACUGACGUUGAGGCCCGAAAGCGUGGGGAGCAAACAGGAUUAGAUACCCGAGUAGUC